rnacentral:rRNA from 1 species
AGAACGAACGCUGGCGGCAGGCUUAACACAUGCAAGUCGAGCGCCGUAGCAAUACGGAGCGGCAGACGGGUGAGUAACGCGUGGGAACAUACCCUCCGGUUCGGAAUAACUCAGGGAAACUUGAGCUAAUACCGGAUACGGCUUAGCGGCGAAAGAUUUAUCGCCGGAGGAUUGGCCCGCGUCCGAUUAGCUAGUUGGUGUGGUAACGGCGCACCAAGGCGACGAUCGGUAGCUGGUCUGAGAGGAUGAUCAGCCACAUUUGGACUGAGACACGGCCCAAACUCCUACGGGAGGCAGCAGUGGGGAAUAUUGGACAAUGGGCGCAAGCCUGAUCCAGCCAUGCCGCGUGAGUGAUGAAGGCCUUAGGGUUGUAAAGCUCUUUCACCCACGACGAUAAUGACGGUAGUGGGAGAAGAAGCCCGGCUAACUUCGUGCCAGCAGCCGC